UUUUUCUUCUUUUUUUUCUUUCCCCUUUUUUCUUUUCUUCUCUUCUUUUAUUCUUUUUUCUUCUCCAAACCCUAGCCGCCGCUCGCCUCUCCUCUCGUCUCCUGCUGUCGGUGAUCUCUCCACCCAGUGGUGCUGCAGUGUUGACGACGGUGGUGCUACGGCGGUGGGCGUGGUGGCACUAACGCGAUGGUGGUGGGCUGUUGCCAUUAUUUUUUUUUUGAUUUUUUCUUUUUUUUGUGAUUGUGUUGGCGUUUUAGGAGGUGGAGGUAAGGGGAAAAUAACGGUGGCAGUGGUCGCGCGACGGUGGUGAGGGGAGAACCGGCGUGAUUUGAGAUUUUUUUUGAAGUUUCUCUGCUGUUUUUUCUUCUUCUUUUUUGCCAAAAACCGAAUCUCUCUUCUCUUUCAAUUUUUUCUUUUUAAUCUUGUUAAUUUGUCUUCUUUCCCUUUGUCUUCAGGUGACAGUGGAGCAUUAUGGGCCUAGGGAGGCUGUCGGAGUAGCUAGAGGUGGCAGUGCACGCUCGGCUGCUGAUUGGGGGAUUUGACAUGUUCAAUAGGACUAAAUUGUAGAGGAUGCAAAACUUCUGGGGCAAAAAUGUAAUUUUAUAAAAAUACGGGCCAAAAUGUAAUUUCUAGAAAGUUUAAGGGCUUGAAUAUAAUUUACAAAAUAUUAGGGGUUAAAAUAUAAUUUUUAAAAAGUUUAGGGGCUAAAAUGUAAUUUCUAUUUUUUGCA